rnacentral:tRNA from 1 species
GGAGAGGUCGCAUAGUCUGGCCUAGUGCGCACGCUUGGAAAGCGUGUAUACCGCAAGGUAUCGAGGGUUCGAAUCCCUCCCUCUCCGCCA